rnacentral:rRNA from 1 species
AUUGAAUGCUGGCGGCAGGCUUAACACAUGCAAGUCGAGCGGGGGAAGGUAGCUUGCUACCGGACCUAGCGGCGGACGGGUGAGUAAUGCUUAGGAAUCUGCCUAUUAGUGGGGGACAACAUCUCGAAAGGGAUGCUAAUACCGCAUACGUCCUAUGGGAGAAAGCAGGGGAUCUUCGGACCUUGCGCUAAUAGAUGAGCCUAAGUCGGAUUAGCUAGUUGGUGGGGUAAAGGCCUACCAAGGCGACGAUCUGUAGCGGGUCUGAGAGGAUGAUCCGCCACACUGGGACUGAGACACGGCCCAGACUCCUACGGGAGGCAGCAGUGGGGAAUAUUGGACAAUGGGGGGAACCCUGAUCCAGCCAUGCCGCGUGUGUGAAGAAGGCCUUAUGGUUGUAAAGCACUUUAAGCGAGGAGGAGGCUACUUUAGUUAAUACCUAGAGAUAGUGGACGUUACUCGCAGAAUAAGCACCGGCUAACUCUGUGCCAGCCGCCGCAGUAA